UGGGGAAUAUUGCGCAAUGGGCGAAAGCCUGACGCAGCGACGCCGCGUGAGGGAUGAAGGUUUUCGGAUCGUAAACCUCUGUCAGAAGGGAAGAAACCGCACUGUGCUAAUCAGCAGUGCCUUGACGGUACCUUCAAAGGAAGCACCGGCUAACUCCGUGCCAGCAGCCACGGUAAUACGGAGGGUGCAAGCGUUAAUCGGAAUUACUGGGCGUAAAGCGCACGUAGGCUGCUUUGUAAGUCAGGGGUGAAAUCCCACGGCUCAACCGUGGAACUGCCUUUGAUACUGCUUAGCUUGAAUCCGGGAGAGGGUGGCGGAAUUCCAGGUGUAGGAGUGAAAUCCGUAGAUAUCUGGAGGAACAUCAGUGGCGAAGGCGGCCACCUGGACCGGUAUUGACGCUGAGGUGCGAAAGCGUGGGGAGCAAACAGG
rnacentral:rRNA from 1 species